rnacentral:lncRNA from 1 species
AUCCUCCAGAAUGCUUAUAAGCUUCCUAUUUAGGAAAAGGAUGGAUAAACUUAGAGUUAUGAUGGAUUCAAAGGUAGGGAAAAUGAAGAAAAAGAGAAGAAGAAGGAGUUGUGUUUUGGUGAACUAACUUGAAAGAGAAAUGGGCUGAACCUUUUCAAGGUAAGUUUUACUAAAAUUUUAUUUUUGCUAUUAAAAUUGGCCCAAUGACUAGCUGCCACGUGUGCACCACUUAAGUGUUAUUUUCUCAUACCUUACAUUCUCCCCAACAACAAAAUUUUCGUCCUCGAAAAUUAAGACUUACAAAUAAAAGGAACAAUCUAUCUUCAUCAUAGUCUCUAGAAGCACCACCUAUUUUGACAAAAUACUACUCCCCUCAACUUUUAAGUACCUUUCUUUCAUAUAACCAAUUCUAUUGUGUCUGCCACACUACUAACCACUUAUCAAUCUUUCGCUACUUCUUGUAAACCUCUCCUAAGACUUCCACCAAUCUUGACUUCAACUGAACCCUUGACUGAUACUCAUUUACCUCCUCUUUCUGCUUCUAUGAAUCACCGUACCUCUAACUUGAUAACUGUUGACAAAUUGGCAAGUGUACCAAAUCGUACAAGUAAUAUAAAUGGUAAGACCAAGUAUCGUUUUCCCAAGAGACUCGUAUGGCUUUCUCGUUCGCGUGAACUAAAAUAAUAAGACUUGAAAAUAAAAAUUAAUAAGUUGGAUUUGAGGACAAAAAUAUUAACAUGCAAAAUAAAGUUGAUUCAAUUGACAAACGAAAACAAUGGAUGAAUGGAUGUUGUUAGGAGUUGACAAUUUCAUCUAAUCCUCUCUCUCUUACCUACUCCUCUUGAAUAUUAGUUUGAUUAAUUAAUUGUUAUGCGACUUUCUUAGCCUCCCCUUAACUCGAUCCCUCGGCGAAAAGAGCCUAAUAUUAAUUACUGGCUUGUUAUCCCUAGCCUCCCCUAGCAAUUAAUACCGCAUUAUAAANAGAAGUUAGCGCAAUUGAUCGUCCUACCCCUAUCCCUAGGUGGUAUUGCAAAAUCAAGAAGUUACUCACCAGUUCAUGUCAUUACUGUACGUCCCC